rnacentral:rRNA from 1 species
AGUCGUAACAAGGUUUCCGUAGGUGAACCUGCGGCAAGGAUCAUUA